AUGGAAGGUGGUGUGGCCGUGAUCCGUGCUGGGGUUCUGUCCCCGCUGGGCUGUUGUCCCAGUUGGAUUGCUGCUAUGGAACUCAGCGCCGAAUACCUGCGGGAGAAACUGCAGCAGGACCUGGAGGCGGAGCACGUGGAGAUGGAGGACACGACCCUCUGUAGCAGCGCAUCCAGCUUCCAAGUCCUGGUGGUGUCGACCAAGUUCGAGGGGAAGCCACUACUUCAGAGAUGCCGGCUGGUGAACGCUUCCCUAGCUGAAGAACUCCUGCACAUCCAUGCCUUUGAACAGAAAACCCUGACCCCAGAGCAGCGGGCCCGUGAGUGGCAGAAAUGAGGGUCCAGGACCUGCACAGCCAUUAAGUUAUAAGUC